rnacentral:rRNA from 1 species
AAACUUUGCAAUGCGGGAAACCGUGACAAGGGAACUCUGAGUGCCCGUAAAAUCGGGCUGUCCAUCGGUUUAAAUAACCGGUGAAGAAAGGGCCGGGCAAGACCGGUGCCAGCCGCCGCGGUAAUACCGGCGGCUCGAGUGGUGGCCACUAUUACUGGGCUUAAAGCGUUCGUAGCUGGUUUGUUAAGUCUCUGGGGAAAUCUUCCGGCUUAACCGGAAGGCGUCUCAGGGAUACUGGCAGACUAGGGACCGGGAGAGGUGAGAGGUACUCCAGGGGUAGGAGUGAAAUCCUGUAAUCCUUGGGGGACCACCUGUGGCGAAGGCGUCUCACCAGAACGGCUCCGACAGUGAGGGACGAAAGCUGGGGGAGCAAACCGG